UCAUCACAAUUUCUUCUUCUCCCAUGAUGCUCAGCAAAUGACAAAGCUCAGGAUAGAAACUCAGGUCCCCUCUGGUGUGAAUUGUGCCACACACACCCCCUUUGGAAGGCACAAAUGGCUACCUUUGGUGGUGUUCUAAUUAAUGUUCUCCCCCCUUUAUUCAACACAGAGGGAAUAAAUCUGAUUCUCUGCCUUCCAGAAGCCCAUGGUGUGCCUGGGAAGACAGGGAAAUACUCACAGAUGCCUCGAAUGCAAGGCAGGCGUUGAAAAGUCUAACAUGUAGCAGUUUGUCAGUAGAUACUUGAAAGAUGGGAAGAUGAGUAACAAUAACUGAGGAGGCAGACGUUAUUUGUGGAUGGAAAUAUAGGAGAACAUAGUGGAAGAGAUGACAUCUGCCAGGUCCGCGGAUGGUAGGCACACGAAGUGAAACACAAUAAAUGCGUGUAUUACUAAGUAAACAGAAUAGAGAACGCUGUGUUCUGGACCUGGGGGCCUGUCAUUUCACAUUUAGCCACCAGAGGGCAGUAUAAGACGUGUUGGUAUUUAAGAGAAGUAAGGUGGUUUUGGUUUUGGUUUUGGUUUUUUCUUUCCCAGGCCCAGUCGUCAGGAAGGUGUUAGUUUCCAGCUUCUGGGGACUUGGCUAAUUCUGAGCAAUGCUAAUGCCCCUGCACAUAACAGGGUCUUGGCUGAAACAGGAGGCUGUAACAUUUGUACGGAGGGAUGACGAACAGUUUUUCCAGACAACAAGAUCCAGGAGAUUGGGUGUGUUCCCAGCGCCCGGCAUGGAGCCCCAGUGUGCUGAGUGAACGCUUCUGGGACGGAGCCUGAGGCUCUGCCAUCCCAGCCUACACCCGGCUGACUCCAGUCCCUGCCUUUCAGCCACGAUGAGGCGCUGUGCCCAGCGUCUUCCAUGUGUCCCAUCACUCAAUCCUCACAAUAACACCAGGAGAGGCCAUUCAUAAUCUGCCUAUGCUGGCAACUGCAUAUUCAAAAAAGGAGUCAGCUUAGAAAUGAGGUCACCGUACUGGAAUGAAGAUGCCGAGGGCAGCAACCUUUUCCGUCCUGUUCACAGCUGCAUCCCACACCCAGCACAGACCGUCCCAUAACAGGGACUGUAUCUUCUUCACCCCAUGGAAGGAAAGAGGACCUGCCGUGGACCAGAGGGGGCUCCAGAGAGUAAAAAGCAAGAGAGUGGUUGUUAUAGGGGGAAAAAAAACAAAAAGCCGUCUUCAGCAAGCUGCUCUCCUGUCCCAAGGCUUGAGGGAGUGGACUUUUCCCUCUUGGCCUUGCCUCAAAGGGACCCCUGAAGACAAAUGUCCUGUUUGGAGCCUCGACACCAGCUUGGCUCCCAGCCAGGGCCUCCCCCGCCUUCCCCUCUCAGUUCCCUCCACUGCAUUGUUUAUUUACACAACUCCCCUCCUACAUUUUAGACUCUAUUAAGAGCUACUAAGAUAAUGUCAUCCGUCCUUGUAACUAUGCGACGAAUAAAAGUAAAACAAAAAUCAGCACAAGAAAACAAGAGGGGUUGGGACAUAAUUCAAUGUAAGGGAAAGCUUGCAAACAGCCAAAGCUUCUCAGUAGAAGAAAGGGCAGCUGUGGGAGGCAGCGAGCCCCUGCCUCAGAGGUUUACAAACAGGAGCUGCAACCACCUGUUGGGAAAGCAGGGCGACGUCUCCUGCAGCGAAAGUAGGACAUAGAAUUCGUAGGUACUGGAUGGCUUCUCUUGGUUCUUCCAAGAAAAAUAUCUGGGCACCAAGGUGAUUAAAUCCUGCUCUGCCAUGCCAGGCCCUUCAGUCUGCACAGAGACGGACAGAGAAGCCUGGGAAGCAGACAUCCCAAGUCAGAGGGUCCCCAGCCUUGCCACUCCAGGGUCACUGAGCAUUGCCCUCCUUGAGCCUGGCUGACCCAUCUUAGGAUGCACUCCUAAGGCCAGUUCCACAGAAAUGCCAGGUAUGCAAUCUCUUAAUUGGAUACUUGGCAGAGAAUGAGGGCAAUUCAUUGCCCAAGCCUACAUGGAGGUAGGCAAGGGAGAAAAGAGUCCUCGGACAGAGCAGAGAAUGCCAAUUUCCAAUUGGCAAGGUGGUGGACAUUUCAGAGAGGAUUACAGGGCAACUCUAACCAGCUGUCACAAGGGCCGAGUGUUGUUCUAACCAGGUGGCCCUGGGUGAACCCUGCUCUCCCGCCAGGCCAGUCUGCCCUGUCCCCUGAACGCGCAGUGCUUCCCUCUGCCUCCACCCCGUGCACACACUGCCUGCUCCACCAAGGUGACUCCACCCUGCUCACAGCCCACCCACAUCCUCCCCAGCCGCCAAGGCCCACCUGAAGCCCACCUCCUUUCUGAAACCUACCCAGACCCCCAGACCACAGGGAUCUCAGCAACUCCAGAAACACCGAUUGGCUAGUGAAAUAAUAACCACAGCUGCCGUUUAUUAAGCUCUUACUGUGUGCCAAGAACAUGGUAAGCACUUUACGUGUAUUGUGCUAAUUCUCAAAACAAUCCUGCAAGGAAGGAAGGUGUCCCCCCUUUAAAGAUGAGAAAAC